AGAGCGAACGCUGGCGGCAGGCCUAACACAUGCAAGUCGAGCGCCCCGCAAGGGGAGCGGCAGACGGGAGAGUAACACGUGGGAACGUACCCCUUGGUUCGGAACAACACAGGGAAACUUGUGCUAAUACCGGAUAAGCCCUUACGGGGAAAGAUUUAUCGCCAAAGGAUCGGCCCGCGUCUGAUUAGCUUGUUGGUGAGGUAACGGCUCACCAAGGCUACGAUCAGUAGCUGGUCUGAGAGGAUGAUCAGCCUCACUGGGACUGAGACACGGCCCAGACUCCUACGGGAGGCAGCAGUGGGGAAUAUUGGACAAUGGGCGCAAGCCUGAUCCAGCCAUGCCGCGUGGAUGAUGAAGGCCCUAGGGUUGUAAAGUCCUUUCGGACGGGGAAGAUAAUGACGGUACCCGUAGAAGAACGCCCCGGCUAACUUCGCGCCAGCAGCCGC
rnacentral:rRNA from 1 species